rnacentral:rRNA from 1 species
UUCCGGUUGAUCCUGCCGGAGGACAUUGCUAUUGGGAUUCGAUUUAGCCAUGCUAGUCGAACGAGUUCACACUCGUGGCGCAUAGCUCAGUAACACGUGGCCAAGCUACCCUUCAGUCGGCAAUACCCUCGGGAAACUGAGGCUAAUGGCCGAUAUGGAACAGUCGCUGGAAUGCACUGUUUUCUAAAGACAUCGCUGAAGGAUGCGGCUGCGGCCGAUUAGGUAGACGGUGGGGUAACGGCCCACCGUGCCAGUAAUCGGUACGGGUGAUGAGAGUCAGAGCCCGGAGACGGAAUCUGAGACAAGAUUCCGGGCCCUACGGGGCGCAGCAGGCGCGAAACCUUUACACUGCACGGAAGUGCGAUAGGGGAAUCCCAAGUGCGAGGGCAUAUUAGCCCUCGCUUUUGUUGACUGUAAGGUGGUCAACGAAUAAGAGCUGGGCAAGACCGGUGCCAGCCGCCGCGGUAAUACCGGCAGCUCAAGUGAUGUCCCAUAUUAUUGGGCCUAAAGCGUCCGUAGCUGGCCAACCAAGUCCAUCGGGAAAUCCACCCGCCCAACGGGUGGGCGUCCGGUGGAAACUGGCUGGCUUGGAACCGGAAGGCUCAGAGAGUACGUCCGGGGUAGGAGUGAAAUCCCGUAAUCCCGGACGGGCUACCGAUGGCGAAAGCACUCUGAGAAGACGGCUUCGACAGUGAGGGACGAAAGCUCGGGUCUCAAACCGGAUUAGAUACCCGGGUAGUC